GCCUACGGCCAUACCACCCUGAAUGUGCCUGAUCUCGUCUGAUCUCGGAAGCUAAGCAGGGGUUGGGCCUGGUUAGUACUUGGGAGAAAGUUAUUCAGUUAGGAUCCCAAAAGCCAAAUUCU
ensembl:rRNA 5S_rRNA 5S ribosomal RNA